GCUCUGUGGUAGACAGUGAAAGUGAAAGUGCAUCAGGGCGUUUUCAGCGACUGGAGGGAGUUUUCUUGAUUCUGCAGCAGAUUGUGGGGCCGACAUGUCAGACGCGUCCACAUCCAGAGACUAUCAGUCCAUUUCAGACAUGCCGCAGAUAUAUCCAGAGUCCUGGAGUAAGUUCUUUCUGGUCCUGACUGGAAAAACGAACGACACUCAUGGAGACUUUGUAAACAUGAUUAAAAACAACGGACACACUGAGGUCACCGCUCCUGAAGAAUGUGACUACUGUCUGCUCUUCUGUCCCAUCACUUC